GUGAAAUUCAUUGUCCUAUACAGAAUAAAUUAAACCUGACUCUAAGAUAUCAUGAAUUUCUUCCCAAGUCUUUCCCACUGAAAUCUGCACUACCAAAUGAUCCAGCUGAAGUCACCAUGUCAAGAUUGCUACCCAUGGAUGUUAAAAGGGCAGAUAAUCCAGGCGAUGGACCGACACUAGCUGCCAUUCCUAAUCCAAGGAGGUCAAGAGUGGGAU
rnacentral:misc_RNA from 1 species